AGAGCAGGGAUGGUGUGUAUCGGCAUUGUGCUAUGAUCAGUGCACUCUGUUUCCGAAAGAGUUUUUUGUGAGAUCGAUCGUAUUCUCAACAAUC